CUGAUUUUGAACACAUCUCCCUAGCUCGAUGUCAAGAUGAGGGGAUUCUGUCGGUGACAGCAGUGCCCUUAGUUGCUUCGUUGUAACUCCCCGUCACCAGUUUUAUUCAGUUACCCUCCAGUCCCACUCUCAGUGCUUCCUGGCUUGUUCUGCCCUCAAAGUGGGUAGAACUGGCACACAUGGACUCUCCGAAACAGCUGCAGGACGCCAAGUUUCUCAGGAGAACUGGAAGUACAGAGAGCAGAAGUGCCUUAAGGUCUCACUAUUCAAAGUGUGGCGCUUGGACCUGCAGUGGCUGCAGCUGCCCUGGGAGCUUGUUAGAAGGCAGCUUCUCACGCCCCUCCUGGACCUACAGAGUCAGAAUCUGCAAUUUUACGGGAGGUCCAGGCUUGGAAGUUGCUUGUAAUGACCUGAGACAGCGCAGCCAAGUGCUGGAAAAAUAGAGCAUUUAAGUUUGUGACUUUAUUUUAAAAGGCAGCUGGCAGUCGACGAACCAAAUUUCUUCUACUUAGUGGCGGCUUCGGCUUCUGGAAGUCGCUAGGAGUAUGAAGUUGCCAACCAGCACUGUUCUCCCGCUGUUCUCUGUGCACUUGUAAAUGGGAAGCUGGGUCAGGAUAGAUCUCUCAGCUAUUAGAAAGAUACAAAAUACUAACAUUUUGCAGGUUACUUAACACACACACACACAAAAUUCAUUCCACAGGUCAGUUUCUCUGAAACAUUUUUUCACUAAAUUCUAAGUGUUCCUGGAGUUGCAAGUGCCUGUCUCCUAGACUAGGCAAUUACUCAGCAACUACAAUCACUGUCAAUCCGAGAUUUCAGCUGCGCAUGAGACCAUGGUCAGGGGAUGCUUUGAACAGUCUCUGAGGAAAUUAGUUUGAAAAAUGGAAAGUUUUUUUUACGCACUUGGCAGUAAAACCUGAUGGGGACAGACAUCAGGCUGUUUAAGAUCCUCAGAAGAAAAGAUUGAUAGUGUGAAUAUUCCGCAAUUUGCUGCGCAAAAAUGUACGCGUGAUUAUAAGGUGUUAUUCCGGAAGCCCCUGGGGGUGUUAUGGGAUAUACACUAUAUGGGCCACUUUACCUUCCUAAAAUCUGAAAAAUUCCAACUACUGAAACAUGGACUGAAGGUUUUGAAUCGUGUAUGGUGAAUUUGAAUACCAUUCCAUGUGAUUUUUUUUCCUAGCAGACUUUAGUUUUUUAGAGCAGUUUUAAGCCCACACCAAAAUGGAGAGGAAGACACAGCAAUUUCCCAUAUACCCUCUACUCCCUUCCAGUCUCCCCACCUAUUGACAUCCCCCACCCAGAGUGGUCCAUUUCUUACAACCCACGAACCUACACUGACACAUCAUUAUUACUCAACGUCCAUAGUUUACAUUAGGGUUGGCUCUUGGUGUUGUACAUUCUCUGGGUUUAGACAAUUUUCAGGAGUUUCACUGCCCUGAAAAUCCUCUGUGUCCCUCCUAUUCAUCCCUCCUUCCCUCCUAACCACUGGUAACCACCGAUCCUGUUCCCAUCUUCUCCAUAGCUUUGCCUUUCCCACCCAGGAUGUCAUACAGUGGAAUCAUUCAGUAUGUGGCCGUUCCAGACUAGCUUCUUUCACUUUAGUAAUAUGCAUUUAAGGUUCCUCCAUGUCUUUUCAUGAUAGUUCAUUUCUUUUUUAUUGCUAAAUAAUAUGCCACUGUCUGGAUGUGUCACAGUUUAUUUAUUCACCUACUGAAGGACAUCUCGGUUGUUUCCAAGUUUGGGCAAUUGUGAAUAAAGCUGCUAUAGACACCCA
rnacentral:lncRNA from 1 species